UGUGGGCAGGGCCCGGGGGAGCUGAGGCUCUGGGGGUGGCCGGGGCUAACCCUGGGCCU
rnacentral:miRNA from 1 species